rnacentral:rRNA from 1 species
GAUGAACGCUGGCGGCGUGCCUAAUACAUGCAAGUCGAGCGAACAGACGAGGAGCUUGCUCCUCUGACGUUAGCGGCGGACGGGUGAGUAACACGUGGAUAACCUACCUAUAAGACUGGGAUAACUUCGGGAAACCGGAGCUAAUACCGGAUAAUAUAUUGAACCGCAUGGUUCAAUAGUGAAAGACGGUUUUGCUGUCACUUAUAGAUGGAUCCGCGCCGCAUUAGCUAGUUGGUAAGGUAACAGCUUACCAAGGCAACGAUGCGUAGCCGACCUGAGAGGGUAAUCGCCCAACUUGGAACUGAGACCCGGCCCAAACCCCCACGGGGGGCAGCAGAGGGAAAUUUUCCGCAGUGGGCGAAGCCCUGCGGGGCAAACCCCGGUGGGUUAAGGAGGUUCUUCGGUCCUAAAACCCCUUUUAUUAGGGAAAAACAAAUGUUUAAUUACCUAGCCCCGUCUUGACGGUACCUAUCCGAAAAGCCCCGGCUAACUACUU